GCCCCUGUAGCUCAGUGGUAGAGCGUCUGCCUCGUAAGCAGAAGGUCGCAGGUCCAAUCCCUGCCGGGGGCA
rnacentral:tRNA from 1 species